rnacentral:rRNA from 1 species
UACGUAGGGUCCGAGCGUUGUCCGGAAUUAUUGGGCGUAAAGGGCUCGUAGGCGGUUUGUUGCGUCGGGAGUGAAAUCCUCCAGCUUAACUGGAGGCUUGCUUUCGAUACGGGCAGACUUGAGGUACUCAGGGGAGAAUGGAAUUCCUGGUGUAGCGGUGAAAUGCGCAGAUAUCAGGAGGAACACCGGUGGCGAAGGCGGUUCUCUGGGAGUUACCUGACGCUGAGGAGCGAAAGUGUGGGGAG